CGGCAACAGCUCAAAUUUGAAAUCUGGCGCAAGCCCGAGUUGUAAUUUGUAGAGGAUGCUUCUGGGUAGCGACCGGUCUAAGUUCCUUGGAACAGGACGUCAUAGAGGGUGAGAAUCCCGUAUGUGACCGGCCCGCACCCUUUACGUAGCUCCUUCGACGAGUCGAGUUGUUUGGGAAUGCAGCUCUAAAUGGGAGGUAAAUUUCUUCUAAAGCUAAAUACCGGCCAGAGACCGAUAGCGCACAAGUAGAGUGAUCGAAAGAUGAAAAGUACUUUGGAAAGAGAGUUAAAAAGCACGUGAAAUUGUUGAAAGGGAAGCGCCUGCAAUCAGACUUCGCGGCAGUGUUCCACCGGUCUUCUGACCGGUCUAUUCUCUGCCGCGAGGCCAUCAUCGUCUCGGCCCGCUGGAUAAGACCUUGGGAAUGUAGCUCACCUUCGGGGGAGUGUUAUAGCUCAUGGUGAUGCAGCGAGGCUGGGGCGAGGUCCGCGCUUUGGCAAGGAUGAUGGCGUAAUGGUUGUCGGCGGCCCGUCUUGAAACACGGACCAAGGAGUCUAACAUCUAUGCGAGUGUUCGGGUGUCAAACCCCUACGCGUAAUGAAAGUGAACGGAGGUGGGAACCGCAAGGUGCACCAUCGACCGAUCCUGAUGUCCUCGGAUGGAUUUGAGUAAGAGCAUAGCUGUUGGGACCCGAAAGAUGGUGAACUAUGCCUGAAUAGGGUGAAGCCAGAGGAAACUCUGG
rnacentral:rRNA from 1 species